rnacentral:rRNA from 1 species
CCGGCCCUAAACGGUGCAUACUUGGCGUGGGGAGUUUCACCCUUCCCGUGCCGGAGCUAACGUGUUAAGUAUGCCGCCUGGGGAGUACGGCCGCAAGGCUAAAACUCAAAGAAAUUGACGGGGGCCCGCACAAGCGGAGGAGCAUGUGGCUUAAUUCGAUGCAACGCGAAGAACCUUACCCGGGUUUGACAUGUGACUGCACGUCCCGCGAAAGCGGGAUUCCUUCGAGGGUGUCACACAGGUGC